CGGGAAGUAGCUUGGUGGCAAAGCUCCCACUUCAUAUGCGGGAAGACCUGGGUUCGAAUCCCGGCUGCUUAC
rnacentral:tRNA from 1 species